UUCUCGGUGGUGUAGUGGUAGCACAUGCCCCCCGGUAUGGGUGUAACGCGGGUUCAGCUCCCGCCUGAGGUCGGAU